rnacentral:rRNA from 1 species
UUUUUGCAUAUCAAUAAGCGGAGGAAAAGAAACUAACAAGGAUUCCCCUAGUAGCGGCGAGCGAAGCGGGAAAAGCUCAAAUUUGUAAUCUGGCGUCUACGACGUCCGAGUUGUAAUCUCGAGAAGUGUUUUCCGUGAUAGACCGCAUACAAGUCUCUUGGAACAGAGCGUCAUAGUGGUGAGAACCCAGUACACGAUGCGGAUGCCUAUUACUUUGUGAUACACUUUCGAAGAGUCGAGUUGUUUGGGAAUGCAGCUCAAAUUGGGUGGUAAAUUCCAUCUAAAGCUAAAUAUUGGCGAGAGACCGAUAGCGAACAAGUACCGUGAGGGAAAGAUGAAAAGCACUUUGGAAAGAGAGUUAACAGUACGUGAAAUUGUUGGAAGGGAAACACAUGCAGCCAGACUUGCUAUUCGGGGCAACUCGAUUGGCAGGCCCGCAUCAGUUUUUCGGGGCGGAAAAGCAUAGAGAGAAGGUAGCAAUUUCGGUUGUGUUAUAGCUCUUUAUUGGAUUCGCCCUGGGGGACUGAGGAACGCAGCGUGCUUUUAGCAUAAGCUUCGGCUUAUCCACGCUAGGAUGCGGUAACGCCUGGAGGGU